rnacentral:misc_RNA from 1 species
UGUCCGAAAAACCCGAUGGCCGACAAACAUUGAGCUGCGACGCGAUCGGACGAGGUGGAGGUCGCCGCGCUCCCACACCCGCGGUUUUUUUGUAAUAAUUCCACAGAAAGUAGCCGUUAAAACGCUCCCAAUUGUGUUAGAUAUAGCGGAGGAGGCGCGUGAGGAUGCCGUCAGACGUGGAGGAGGCGGAGUACCAAGAUGAAGAGGAGGAACAGGGAGAUGGUGAUGAGGGAGAGGAGGAACCAGGAGACUCAAAUGAAGAGGAGCAGGAUGAAGAAUGGGGCGGAGGGAAGCGUAAACGAAAGAAAAGCAAGAAGAGAAAGUCGUCCCGAAGUGAACGUGCACGAAAGAAACGAAAGAAGAAGGAUGAGAGUGAAAGUGAAGGAGAAUUUGAUGAGGAUGGUGCCAGAGUUGACUCUGAUUACCAAGAGGAAACCCAGAGAGGUAGGGGAAGAGGAAAGGGUCGGGGGCGUCCCCCUGCCACUCCAGUGCCAGCAGCAUCACAAGAGUCAGGUGGUGGUGACCAGAUGCCAACAGUGGCAGAGGUUUGUGAAAGCUUUGGCCUCAAUGACGUUGAGCUGGAGUACACUGAAAAUGACUACCAGACCUUAACCACGUACAAGCUUUUCCAGCAACAUGUGCGACCUUUGUUGGCCAAGGAAAAUCCCAGGGUACCUGUGUCUAAGCUUAUGAUGUUAGUAGCUGCAAAGUGGAGAGAAUUUACUGCACGAGGUCAGGAGGAAGAGGAGGAGGAGGAAGAUGAAGAUGAAGAGGAGGUUGUUGAAGAUGAAGAACCGGAACCAGAACCUGUUCAGGUAACCCCAAAGGGUAGGGGACGUCCCCGAAAGUCUAAAGUAGAUGAUGAUGCUGAAGAAGAGUUUGAUGAUGACAGUGAAGGUGCAGGUAAGAAGAAACGAGGUCGUAAACGCACUGCUACUGGAGAUAGUAAGACCAAAAAGGGUGGCAAAGUACCUACCUUGAAGAUUAAAUUAGGAAAGCGGAAGAAGGACACCUCGGUGAGUCUGGUUCAAGACAGGGGGUUGAACAAAAACUAUGAGCCGGUCCAGCAGGAACACACGAACGAGGAUGACUCUAGUCAGGACAGUGAUGCAGAGUUUGAACAAAUGCUUGCCGAAGCUGAAGAUAUGAACAAGGCUGAGGAUGAAGCCGAAUUGGCAACAGGAUCUAAAAAGAAAGCCAAGGCCAAGAUUGGAAGUAAGAGCAAAAGGAGAAAGCGUAUAAAGGCCAAGGAUGAGGAUGGCUAUGAAACAGACCAUCAAUCUCCCCCCAACCAGGACUACUGUGAGGUAUGCCAGCAGGGAGGGGAGAUAAUCCUUUGUGACACCUGCCCCAAGGCAUACCACCUUGUGUGUCUGGAGCCAGAGUUGGAGGAGGCUCCAGAGGGCAAGUGGUCGUGCCCCACGUGCGAGGCAGAAGGGGUCAAGGAGGAAGAUGAACAUAUGGAAUAUUGCAAGGUUUGCAAGGUCAGUAAGCAUCAGGAUGGCGGGGAACUACUCUGCUGUGAUUCAUGCGUUAACGCUUAUCACACUUACUGUUUGUCACCACCACUGUACCAAGUCCCAGAAGGAGAGUGGACAUGUCAGCGUUGUGCUUGUGAGCCACUUCCAGGACGGGUGCAGAAGAUUCUUUUCUGGAGAUUUGUGGAUCCACCCAAGCCUCCAGAAAAUUGGAAGGAGAUCGUCGGUGACAAAGCUGAAAAAUACCAGUCAAAGCAGCUACGGGAAUUCUUGGUCAAAUGGGUGGAUAUGUCCUACUGGCACUGUUCAUGGAUUUCAGAGCUUAUGUUGGAUGUUUAUCAUCCUCAGAUGUUAAGAUCAUACUUUAAAAAGUUUGACCCCGACGAGCCUCCUAUUCCUGGUAUAGAUGACGAUGACGAGCUUGGCUCCCAGAGGCGGCACAAGAAAGAACCUGAUCCAAACUCUUUGGAAGAGAGAUAUUUCAAAUUUGGUAUAAAAUCUACCUGGUUGAAAAUUCAUCGUGUACUGAACCACCGUACAUUACGAGAUGGUACAACUCAAUACCUAGUUAAAUGGCGAGACUUGCCCUACGACCAGGCUACGUGGGAGGAUGAAGAUGAAGAAAUUGUUGGCCUAAAGACCGCCGUCGAGUUCUACCAUGAUCUGCGUGCUGCCUGCAAUGCUGAUGCUUGUAAUAAAAGCAAGAAAGGCAAGAAGAAGGGAAAAUCCCGAGCCAGGGAGCUUGGUGACGAAGACAGGGAACCUUCGUCGCCACGGCGCUACACUCCCCCUCCUGAGAAACCUAUUACGAACCUUAACAAGAAGUAUGAUAAGCAGCCAGAUUAUAUUGAUGGCACUGGACUCUCUCUCCAUGAAUAUCAGUUAGAGGGUGUCAAUUGGUUGAGAUACUCGUGGGGUCAAGGAACAGACACCAUUUUGGCUGAUGAGAUGGGUCUGGGAAAAACCAUUCAGACAAUUGCAUUCCUGUAUUCACUUUACAAGGAAGGUCAUUCUAAGGGACCCUUUCUUGUGGCUGUCCCCUUGUCCACUAUUAUAAAUUGGGAGCGUGAAUUUGAGAUGUGGGCUCCCGAUUUUUACGUUGUAACCUACGUGGGCGAUCGCGACUCUCGAACGAUGAUCCGUGAGCACGAGUUGUCAUUUGAGGAGGGGGCUGUUCGAAGUGCUUCGAAGGCAACUCGAAUCCGCACAAACAACGUAAAGUUUAAUGUGUUGUUAACAUCGUAUGAGAUGAUCUCAAUGGACCAGGCCUGCUUGGGCUCCUUGGAGUGGGCAUGUUUAGUUGUGGAUGAAGCGCACAGACUGAAGAGUAAUCAAUCAAAGUUUUUCCGUGUGUUGAAUCAGUACAACAUUGUUUACCGAUUAUUGUUGACUGGAACACCUCUGCAGAAUAAUUUGGAAGAACUUUUCCAUCUACUUAACUUCCUUUGUCCAGAGAAGUUUAGUGAUUUGGCAACUUUCCAAAAUGAAUUUGAAGACAUUGCCAAAGAGGACCAAAUUAAGAAGCUCCAUGACUUACUGGGACCCCACAUGCUCAGGAGGUUAAAAGUGGAUGUGUUAAAGAAUAUGCCAACGAAGUCAGAGUUCAUCAUUCGUGUUGAACUGUCACCUCUGCAAAAGAAAUACUACAAAUACAUCCUUACUCGCAACUUUGAGGCUCUAAACUCAAGGGGUGGUGGACAGCAGGUAUCUCUCCUUAACAUUGUGAUGGAUUUGAAGAAGUGUUGCAACCAUCCUUACCUGUUCCCAGCUGCUGCUGAAGAAGCCCCCAAAAUGCCUAAUGGAAUGUAUCUUACGAAAGAUUUAGUAAAAGCCAGUGGGAAGUUUAUAUUAUUGGAGAGCAUGUUGGAGAAGCUCAAGAGAGAUGGUCAUCGAGUGCUGAUAUUCUCCCAGAUGACCAAGAUGCUAGAUGUGCUGGAAGAUUUCUGUGAAGGUCUUGGCUACAAGUAUGAGAGAAUUGAUGGUGGUAUUACGGGCUUACUGCGCCAGGAAGCUAUUGACAGAUUCAAUGCCCCAGGUGCUCAACAGUUUAUGUUCUUGCUUUCUACUCGUGCUGGAGGUUUGGGAAUUAAUUUGGCCACGGCUGAUACUGUUAUCAUCUAUGAUUCUGAUUGGAACCCUCACAAUGACAUCCAGGCUUUCUCUCGCGCUCAUCGUAUCGGUCAGGCAAAUAAGGUCAUGAUCUACCGAUUUGUGACACGUAAUUCUGUGGAAGAACGUGUGACUCAGGUUGCCAAGAGGAAAAUGAUGUUAACUCACUUGGUUGUACGACCAGGCAUGGGUGGAUCAAAGUCUACAAAUUUCUCAAAACAGGAACUGGACGACAUCCUUAGGUUUGGUACUGAAGAACUCUUCAAGGAAGAGUUGGGAAAAGAAGAUGAAGCCAUCCACUAUGAUAACCAAGCCAUAGAGGAACUGCUUGAUCGUAGUAAAGAGGGCAUUGAGCAGAAAGAAAACUGGGCAAAUGAGUACCUUAGUUCAUUCAAAGUGGCUUCUUAUGUUACCAAGGAAGGAGAAGAGGAGGAAAUGGAAGAUGUUGAAGUGCUGAAACAAGAAGCGGAUAACACAGACUCUCAGUAUUGGGAGCGUCUCCUGAGGCACCACUUCGAGCAACAGCAGGAGGACCUGGCGCGCACUCUUGGAAAAGGCAAACGUGUUAGAAAACAGGUAAACUACAACGAUGCCGCAGAUGGCCGAGAGGACCUGACAUGGCAAGAACAAGGAUCAGACUACAAUUCUGACUUCUCCAUGCCAUCAGAUAAUGACAACGAUGAUGAGUUCGACGAGAAGAAUGAGAGUGAAGGAGGUCGUCGAUCACGUCGUCGUGUUGACCGUAAUGAUAGGGAUCGACCAUUGCCACCUCUUCUUGCCAGAGUUGGUGGAAACAUUGAGGUUCUUGGGUUCAAUGCUAGGCAGCGAAAGUCUUUCCUGAAUGCUGUCAUGCGCUACGGAAUGCCACCCCAAGAAGCCUUCAAUUCACAAUGGCUGGUUCGUGACCUACGAGGGAAGAGUGAAAAGUGUUUCCGAGCGUACACAUCUUUGUUUAUGCGUCACUUGUGUGAACCAGGCAAUGAUAAUGCAGAAACAUUUGCUGAUGGUGUACCCCGUGAAGGCUUAAGUCGUCAACACGUUCUUACCAGAAUUGGUGUCAUGUCUCUCAUACGGAAAAAGGUAUCUGAAUUUGAAACGAUUAAUGGUCACUACUCCAUGCCUGAAGCACUCACUAAGCCCCUAGAGCCUUUACCUGGAGAUGGGGGCAAGAGUAAUGGCACUUCUGCAUCUGGUACUCCAGCUACAAGUGUAACACCCUCUCCUGCUCCUUCAAUCAAGGGAGAAGUAGAGGAAAAGGAGGAUGAAAAGAAAGAUGAAAAGACAGAGGAAAAAGAAAAAACAGAAGUGAAGGAGAGUGAAAAGCAGGAGGGAACAGACAAAGAAGAAAAGAAAGAGGAACAAUCUUCUGAAACUGAAAAGAAAGAAAAAGAGGAAGAAAAUGGAGAUGCCGAGAAGGAAGAGGAGGCUGAAGUGAAGAAGGAAACGGAAGAAGGGGAAAAAGUUGAAAAGUCAGAGGAUGAAAAGAAAGAAGAACCUGAGAAGAUGGAAGUAGAGGAGAAAGAUGAAGAUAAGAAAGAUGAGAAAAAGGCAGAGGAAACGACAGUUGACGGGGAAGAAACUAAAGAUGGAAAGGCUAACGAAGAGAAGUCGGAGGAAGAUACAGCCACAUCAAAGACUGAAAAGGAGGAUAAGGAAGGCAACAAAGAUGUUGUAAAGGAGGAGGAUAAUAAGGAGAAAGACGAUGAUAAAGACAAAGAAAAAGACGGUGACAAAGAUGAGGAUAAAAAGGAAACUACGAAAAAGAAAGAAAUUGAACCAGUUUCCAAGAGAAAGUUCAUGUUUAACAUUGCCGACGGGGGCUUCACUGAGCUACACACCCUGUGGCAAAAUGAGGAAAAAGCAGCAGUGCCUGGCCGGGAAUGUGAAAUUUGGCACCGCAGACAUGAUUAUUGGCUACUUGCUGGCAUUGUAACUCACGGGUAUGGGCGCUGGCAAGAUAUUCAAAAUGAUAUUCGGUUUGCUAUCAUCAACGAACCAUUCAAGAUGGAUGUGGGCAAGGGAAAUUUCUUAGAAAUAAAGAAUAAAUUUUUAGCAAGAAGAUUCAAGCUUCUUGAGCAAGCUCUUGUGAUUGAGGAACAGCUAAGACGAGCAGCAUUCCUGAACCUGCAGCAAGAUCCCCACCACCCUGCGUGUACUCUAAAUGCUCGCUUUGCAGAGGUGGAGUGUUUGGCAGAGUCACACCAACACCUCAGCAAGGAGUCACUGGCUGGCAACAAACCUGCUAAUGCAGUGCUCAAUAAGGUGCUGAAUCAACUUGAGGAGCUGUUGUCCGAUAUGAAGUCUGACGUGACCCGACUGCCAGCGUCUCUAGCCCGGAUUCCCCCAGUGGCACAGCGCCUGCAGAUGUCCGAGCGUUCCAUCCUAUCUCGCCUAGCCUCUGGAGCCGGUAAUUUGGACAAGACCACUCAAGGGGCAGGUCAAGAGACAACCCCAUUUCCCGUGGGUUAUUCACCUGCAGGUCAACUCCAGUCCCUGGGUAACACCAACUUCGCCAACUUCCGACCCCAGUACUCGCUUCCCGGCGCUGCAACUGCCCCAGGUGCUGUGCAGGCUGCCUUCCCAGGUAUCCCUCCCAUGGCUGCCAACCCUGCCUCCAAGUAGAACCAUGCUGAUGCUGCUGAUGCUACUCCCGCUGCUACUGCUGCUCUGCGUGGCCCAGUGUGACACUAACCCAGCUCGGUGUGCCAUCUGCUCAGGUCAGCCUUGCGAACUUAAGUGCCAGUCUACACAUGCUUGCUGCCUCCAACCCACUCUUGGACUCAAGCUUGCAGCAGCAACCACCUACCUCCCAUGCAGGCACCAUCUCUGCUGCAACACG